rnacentral:rRNA from 1 species
AGAGUUUGAUCAUGGCUCAGGACGAACGCUGGCGGCGUGCUUAACACAUGCAAGUCGUACGAACGGAGGAGAGCUUGCUCUCCAAUGUUAGUGGCGAACGGGUGCGUAACACGUGAGCAACUUGCCCUUCGGUGGGGGAUAGCCGGCCCAACGGCCGGGUAAUACCGCGUAUCGCAUCGUCAUCGCAUGGUGAUGAUGUAAAAGCGGCCGUAAGGUCGCGCCGGGGGAGGGGCUCGCGGCGUAUCAGCUUGUUGGUGGGGUAACGGCCUACCAAGGCGACGACGCGUAGCUGGUCUGAGAGGAUGAUCAGCCACAUUGGGACUGAGAUACGGCCCAGACUCCUACGGGAGGCAGCAGUGGGGAAUAUUGCGCAAUGGCCGCAAGGCUGACGCAGCGACGCCGUGUGUGGGAUG